UACGUAGGGGGCAAGCGUUGUCCGGAUUUAUUGGGCGUAAGGAGCGUGUAGGCGGUCAGGUAGGUCCGUUGUGAAAACUCGAGGCUCAACCUCGAGACGCCGAUGGAAACCAUCUGACUAGAGUCCGGAAGAGGAGAGUGGAAUUCCUGGUGUAGCGGUGAAAUGCGCAGAUAUCAGGAAGAACACCCGUGGCUAAGGCGGCUCUCUAGUACGGUACUGACGCUGAGACGCGAAAGCGUGGGGAGCGAACAGG
rnacentral:rRNA from 1 species